GUAAAGUAAUCUGUGACCAAAAAAACACACCCAGCCAUGGCUACAUCCCUAAGCACACCAAAACUCAGCACAACAACUUUUCAGAGUCUCUACAAAACCAAAUUCUCUUCCUUCUCUCUUCUCUCUCUCUCUAAUAACAACCCCAUCAUCAAACCCCGUAUUACCCCAUCAUCAUCAUUAUCUUAUGGCCGUCGAUUCACUACCCCUCGUGCUGAGUCAUCAUCAUCAUCAUCCACCAAUGGCGACCCUCCACGUCACUACGACUUUGACUUGUUUACAAUAGGCGCAGGUAGUGGUGGAGUUAGGGCUUCACGUUUUGCAUCUAAUUUUGGGGCUAAUGUUGCUGUUUGUGAGAUGCCUUUCUCUACUAUUUCUUCUGAUUCUACUGGUGGCGUUGGUGGCACGUGUGUGCUGCGUGGAUGUGUACCCAAGAAAUUACUCGUGUACGCAUCAAAAUAUUCUCAUGAGUUUGAGGAGAGUUGUGGUUUCGGAUGGAGUUAUGAGGCGGAACCUAAACAUGAUUGGAGCACCCUCAUUGCUAAUAAAAAUGCCGAGUUGCAGCGCCUAACGGGUAUUUACAAGAAUAUUCUGAAGAAUGCCAAUGUUACACUGAUUGAAGGGCGAGGAAAGGUUGUGGAUCCUCAUACGGUGGAUGUGGAUGGAAAACUCUACUCGGCUAAGAACAUACUAAUUUCAGUUGGGGGCCGUCCAUUUAUCCCAGACGUUCCUGGAAGCGAGUAUGCUAUAGAUUCUGAUGCUGCCCUUGAUUUGCCAACGAAGCCUAACAAAAUUGCCAUUGUUGGAGGCGGUUACAUUGCAGUUGAAUUUGCUGGAAUCUUCAAUGGCUUGAAAAGUGAGGUCCAUGUUUUUAUAAGACAAAAGAAGGUUCUGAGAGGCUUUGAUGAAGAAAUCAGGGAUUUUGUUGGUGAACAGAUGUCAUUGAGAGGAAUUGAGUUCCAUACCGAGGAGUCGCCUCAGGCUAUUGUCAAGUCAGCAGAUGGCUCACUGUCAUUAAAGACUAACAGAGGAACAGUUGAAGGUUUCUCUCAUAUCAUGUUUGCAACAGGACGAAGACCAAAUACAAAGAAUUUAGGAUUAGAUACAGUAGGAGUGAAAAUGACAAAGAAUGGAGCCAUAGAGGUUGACGAGUAUUCUCGUACAUCAGUGCCAUCAAUUUGGGCAGUUGGAGAUGUUACUGAUAGAAUUAAUUUAACUCCAGUUGCUUUGAUGGAGGGAGGAGCUUUGGCAAAAACUAUUUUUGCUGAUGAACCCACAAAACCCGAUUAUAGGAAUGUACCAUGUGCAGUAUUUUCCCAACCACCUAUUGGACUAGUUGGUCUGACGGAAGAAGAGGCCAUCAAAGAAUAUGGCGACAUUGAUGUUUAUACAGCAAAUUUUAGGCCAUUAAAAGCUACUAUUUCUGGUCUUCCAGAUCGGGUCUUCAUGAAACUAAUAGUAUGUGCAAAGUCAAGCAAAGUUCUGGGGUUGCACAUGUGUGGAGAUGAUGCACCAGAAAUUGUACAGGGAUUUGCGGUUGCAGUAAAAGCCGGGUUGACCAAAGCGGACUUUGAUGCCACUGUGGGUAUUCACCCUACAUCAGCAGAGGAGUUUGUCACCAUGCGAACCCCUACAAGGAAGGUUCGAAGUAGUCCAUCUGAGGUAAAAGAUGUGCAACAGAAAUUCACAUGAAGUGCGUCUUCUGAUAAGGGUAAGGCAGAGCACGACAUUAAAGCUGCCGCCGGAGUUUGAUGUGCGGCGAUAAAGGCUCAAUUUGUUGAAUGACAUUGAAGAAUACAUGUGGAGCUAGAAGCUUGAGAUGUUUGAAGUGGUGGAUGGAGGAAUAUACUGCCUAUGGUACAAUUUUGAAAGAGGUUUUAGACUGAUUGGGAGCUUAUGGAACAUCAGUUAUGGACUCACACAUGCAAAAAACUAUCUCAACAGCGAGUCGCUAAUACUUGUCGGAACAAAUGCUAACUUUACUACUUGAAAAAGUGCCUUCAAGGUGGUUGUGCUGAUGCUAGAUAUGCAUUCAUCCAUUGGCUUGCAUCUUGUCAACAAUAUUUCCUUUUAUCAAAGUAACAGGUUUAAACAUUUUCUGUCCAAAUUUUCCUUAGGGGGGUCCAGAGGGAUUGACUACUAAUAUCUCGAUAAUGUUUUCUCUAUUAUUGUACUUUUCUGCUGGGGUUUGAGGCCACAUUUGGGCAGUGUAAUUAUAACAUUGCUUAUUAGAUAUUGUUUCCGUGUAACGAUAAAAUUAGUUGAUAUUCUGCAAUAAAAGCAGUUAAGCAGAUUGCUCAA